GUCCUAGCCGUAAACGGUGUGCACUUGCUGUAGGCGGAAUCGACCCCGUCUGUGGCGAAGCCAACGCGUUAAGUGCACCGCCUGGGAAGUACGGUCGCAAGAUUAAAACUCAAAGAAAUUGACGGGGCCUGCACAAGCGGUGGAGUAUGUGGCUCAAUUCGAUGCAACGCGAAGAACCUUACCUGGCCUUGACAUGUAGAUGGUAGAAGGAUGAAAGUCUGACGACCUCGCAAGAGGAGUCUACACAGGUGCUGCAUGGCUGUCGU
rnacentral:rRNA from 1 species